CGCAGGGCGCUAACUGCAGUCGAGCGGACUAAUGGGAGCUUGCUCCCGUUAGUUAGCGGCGGACGGGUGAGUAACACGUGGGCAACCUACCUGUAAGACUGGGAUAACUUCGGGAAACCGGAGCUAAUACCGGAUGACAUAAAGGAACUCCUGUUCCUUUAUUGAAAGAUGGCUUUUAGCUAUCACUUACAGAUGGGCCCGCGGCGCAUUACCUAGUUGGUGAGGUAACGGCUCACCAAGGCGACAAUGCGUAGCCAACCUGAAAGGGUGAUCGGCCACACUGGGACUGAAACACGGCCCAAACUCCUACGGGAGGCAGCAGUAGGGAAUCUUCCGCAAUGGACAAAAGUCUGACGGACCAACGCCCCGUGAGCGAUGAAGGCCUUCGGGUCGUAAAGCUCUGUUGUUAGGGAAAAAUAAUUGCUAGUUAAAUAAGCUGGCACCUUGACGGUACCUAACCAGAAAGCCACGGCUAACUACGUGCCAGCAGCCGCGGUAAUACGUAGGUGGCAAGCGUUGUCCGGAAUUAUUGGGCGUAAAGCGCGCGCAGGCGGUUUCUUAAGUCUGAUGUGAAAGCCCCCGGCUCAACCGGGGAGGGUCAUUGGAAACUGGGAAACUUGAUUGCAGAAAAGGAAAGUGGAAUUCCAAGUGUAGCGGUGAAAUGCGUAAAGAUUUGGAGGAACACCAGUGGCGAAGGCGACUUUCUGGUCUGUAACUGACGCUGAGGCGCGAAAGCGUGGGGAGCAAACAGGAUUAGAUACCCUGGUAGUCCACGCUGUAAACAAUGAGUGCUAAGUGUUAAAGGGUUUCCGCCCUUUAUUGCUGAAGUUAACGCAUUAAGCACUCCGCCCGGGGAGUACGGUCGCAAGACUGAAACUCAAAGGAUUGACGGGGGCCCGCACAAAUGGUGAGACAUGUGGUUUAUUUCAAACAACGCGAAGACC
rnacentral:rRNA from 2 species